rnacentral:rRNA from 1 species
GGAUGAACGCUGGCGGCGUGCUUAACACAUGCAAGUCGAACGGGAAUGCCACGCUGAUGCGAUUUCGGUCAAAUCAUGUGGCAUUCGAGUGGCGGACGGGUGAGUAACGCGUGGGUAACCUGCCUUACACAGGGGGAUAACACCUGGAAACAGGUGCUAAUACCGCAUAAGCGCACAGGGCCGCAUGGCCCGGUGUGAAAAACUCCGGUGGUGUAAGAUGGACCCGCGUCUGAUUAGCUUGUUGGCGGGGUAGGGGCCCACCAAGGCGACGAUCAGUAGCCGGCCUGAGAGGGUGGACGGCCACAUUGGGACUGAGACACGGCCCAAACUCCUACGGGAGGCAGCAGUGGGGGAUAUUGGACAAUGGGGGAAACCCUGAUCCAGCGACGCCGCGUGAGUGAAGAAGUAUUUCGGUAUGUAAAGCUCUGUCAGCAGGGAAGAAAGAAAUGACGGUACCUGACCAAGAAGCCCCGGCUAACUACGUGCCAGCAGCCGCGGUAAUACGU